rnacentral:rRNA from 1 species
ACUCAAAGGAAUAGACGGGGACCCGCACAAGCAGUGGAGUAUGUGGUUUAAUUCGAAGCAACGCGAAGAACCUUACCAGCUCUUGACAUCUGAGUGAAAGCACCAGAGAUGGUGUCCUUCUUCGGAACACUCAAGACAGGUGGUGCAUGGUUGUCGUCAGCUCGUGUCGUGAGAUGUUGGGUUAAGUCCCGCAACGAGCGCAACCCUUGAUCUUAGUUGCCAGCAAUUCGGUUGGGCACUCUAAGGUGACUGCCGGUGACAAACCGGAGGAAGGUGGGGAUGACGUCAAAUCAUCAUGCCCCUUAUGAGCUGGGCUACACACGUACUACAAUGGUCGGUACAACGGGAAGCGAAGCCGCGAGGUGGAGCCAAUCCUAUAAAAGCCGAUCUCAGUUCGGAUUGCAGGCUGCAACUCGCCUGCAUGAAGUCGGAAUUGCUAGUAAUCGCGGAUCAGCAUGCCGCGGUGAAUACGUUCCCGGGUCUUGUACACACCGCCCGU